CCUACGGGAGGCAGCAGUGAGGAAUAUUGGUCAAUGGACGCAAGUCUGAACCAGCCAUGCCGCGUGCAGGACGACGGCUCUAUGCGUUGUAAACUGCUUUUGUCCGGGGGUAAAAGCAGGUCCGCGUCUCUGUCUGAAAGUAUCGUACGAAUAAGGAUCGGCUAACUCCGUGCCAGCAGCCGCGGUAAUACGGAGGAUUCAGGCGUUAUCCGGAUUUAUUGGGUUUAAAGGGUGGGUAGGCGGGAGGUUAAGUUAGGGGUAAAAAUCCGGGGCUUAACUGCGGAACUGCCGUUGAUACUGUUGGGCUAGAGAGUAGGUGCGGUAGGCGGAAUGCAUGGUGUAGCGGUGAAAUGCUUAGAGAUCAUACAGAACACCGAUUGCGAAGGCAGCUUACC
rnacentral:rRNA from 1 species